rnacentral:rRNA from 1 species
CCUACGGGAGGCAGCAGUGAGGAAUAUUGGUCAAUGGGCUUACGCCUGAACCAGCCAAGUCGCGUGAGGGAAGACUGCCCUAUGGGUUGUAAACCUCUUUUGUCAGGGAGCAACGCCGGCUACGUGUAGCCGGACUGAGAGUACCUUAAGAAAACGCAUCGGCUAACUCCGUGCCAGCAGCCGCGGUAAUACGGAGGAUGCGAGCGUUAUCCGGAUUUAUUGGGUUUAAAGUGUGCGUAGGCGGAAUGCCAAGUCAGCGGUAAAAUCUCGGGGCUCAACCUCGCUACGCCGUUGAAACUGGCGUUCUGGAGUGGGCGAGAAGUAUGCGGAAUGCGUGGUGUAGCGGUGAAAUGCAUAGAUAUCACGCAGAACUCCGAUUGGGAAGGCAGCAUACCGGCGCCCAACUGACGCUGAAGCACGAAAGCGUGGGUAUCGAACAGGAUUAGAUACCCGAGUAGUC